rnacentral:rRNA from 1 species
UACGAGGGGCUUGCUCCGAACUAUUUAGUGGCGAACGGGUGAGUAUCACGUGAGCAACCUGCCCCGAAGACUGGGAUAACACCGGGAAACCGGUGCUAAUACCGGAUGUCUUUCAAUGAUCGCAUGAUCGAUGAAAGAAAUGUUUUUUCGCUUUGGGAGGGGCUCGCGGUCCAUCAGCUUGUUGGCGGGGUAACGGCCCACCAAGGCUACGACGGAUAGCUGGUCUGAGAGGACGAUCAGCCACACUGGAACUGAGACACGGUCCAGACUCCUACGGGAGGCAGCAGUGGGGAAUCUUGCGCAAUGGACGAAAGUCUGACGCAGCAACGCCGCGUGAGGGACGAAGGCUUUCUGAG